UGAUCCUGGCUCAGAGUGAACGCUGGCGGCGUGCUUAACACAUGCAAGUCGAACGAGAACGGGUUAUAGCUUGCUAUAACUGUCAGCUAAGUGGCGCACGGGUGAGUAAUGUAUAGAUAACGUGCCUCUUACAAGGGAAUAACAGUUGGAAACGACUGCUAAUGCCCUAUAUGCCUUUAUGUCAUAAGACAGCAAGGGAAAGUUUUUUCGGUAAGAGAUCGGUCUGUAUGGUAUCAGCUAGUUGGUGAGGUAAUGGCUCACCAAGGCAAUGACGCCUAACUGGUUUGAGAGGGUGAUCAGUCACACUGGAACUGAGACACGGUCCAGACUCCUACGGGAGGCAGCAGUGGGGAAUAUUGCACAAUGGACGAAAGUCUGAUGCAGCAACGCCGCGUGGAGGAUGACACAUUUCGGUGCGUAAACUCCUUUUAUAUAUGAAGAUAAUGACGGUAAUAUAUGAAUAAGCGCCGGCUAACUCCGUGCCAGCAGCCGCGGUAAUACGGAGGGCGCAAGCGUUACUC
rnacentral:rRNA from 1 species